GCGAGAGUGGCGGAACAGGCAGACGCGCCAGAUUUAGGAUCUGGUGGGUAUUCCCGUGGGGGUUCGAGUCCCCCCUCUCGCA
rnacentral:tRNA from 1 species